rnacentral:rRNA from 1 species
AUUGAACGCUGGCGGCAUGCCUUACACAUGCAAGUCGAACGGCAGCACGGGUGCUUGCACCUGGUGGCGAGUGGCGAACGGGUGAGUAAUACAUCGGAACAUGUCCUGUAGUGGGGGAUAGCCCGGCGAAAGCCGGAUUAAUACCGCAUACGAUCUACGGAAGAAAGCGGGGGCCCUUCGGGCCUCGCGCUAUGGGGUUGGCCGAUGGCUGAUUAGCUAGUUGGUGGGGUAAAGGCCUACCAAGGCGACGAUCAGUAGCUGGUCUGAGAGGACGACCAGCCACACUGGGACUGAGACACGGCCCAGACUCCUACGGGAGGCAGCAGUGGGGAAUUUUGGACAAUGGGCGAAAGCCUGAUCCAGCAAUGCCGCGUGUGUGAAGAAGGCCUUCGGGUUGUAAAGCACUUUUGUCCGGAAAGAAAUCCUUGGCCCUAAUACGGUCGGGGGAUGACGGUACCGGAAGAAUAAGCACCGGCUAACUACGUG